AAAACUUAAGAAAGAAUUAUAAAUUCUAUUAAUUU
rnacentral:tRNA from 1 species